AUAACAACUCUCGGCAACGGAAAUCUGGGCUCUCCCAUCAAUGAAAAACUAAGCAAACGGCAAUACUUGGUGGGAAUUGCAAAAUCCCGGGAACCAUCAAUUCUUUAAACGAAAGUUGCCCCCAAAACCUUUGUUCAAGGGCCGUUUUGCUUGGGUGCCACA
rnacentral:rRNA from 1 species